AUUAAAAUACCAGUUCCUGUAUGAUCAUCGAAGUUAAGCAACAUUGAUUAUGGUCAGUACCUAGAUGGGUGACUGCUUAGGAAUACCAGGUGCUGUAAG